UACGAAGGGGGCUAGCGUUGCUCGGAAUGACUGGGCGUAAAGGGCGCGUAGGCGGUUUGCACAGUCAGAUGUGAAAUUCCUGGGCUCAACCUGGGGGCUGCAUUUGAUACGUGUAGACUUGAGUGGGGAAGAGGGUCGUGGAAUUCCCAGUGUAGAGGUGAAAUUCGUAGAUAUUGGGAAGAACACCGGUGGCGAAGGCGGCGACCUGGUCCUUGACUGACGCUGAGACGCGAAAGCGUGGGGAGCGAACAGG
rnacentral:rRNA from 1 species